GAGUUUGAUCGUGGCUCAGGAUGAACGCUGGCGGCGUGCUUAACACAUGCAAGUCGAACGGAGUGCCUUUGAAAGAGGAUUCGUCCAAUUGAUAAGGUUACUUAGUGGCGGACGGGUGAGUAACGCGUGAGGAACCUGCCUUGGAGUGGGGAAUAACACAGUGAAAAUUGUGCUAAUACCGCAUAAUGCAGUUGGGCCGCAUGGCUCUGACUGCCAAAGAUUUAUCGCUCUGAGAUGGCCUCGCGUCUGAUUAGCUAGUUGGUGGGGUAACGGCCCACCAAGGCGACGAUACAUAGCCGACCUGAGAGGGUGAUCGGCCACACUGGGACUGAGACACGGCCCAGACUCC
rnacentral:rRNA from 1 species